UGCCUCUAUCAUUUCAAGCUUGUUUUCCCAG
rnacentral:piRNA from 1 species